GUUUUGGUCCUAAACUUGCCAUUGUUUUUUAUCAAAUUUACACAUGCAAGCUUCAACAACCCAGUGAGAUUGCCCUAAACCCCUGAACAGCAAUAAGGAGCGGGUAUCAGGAUCAGAUUAACACCCUAGCCUAAAACGCCUUGCUAUGCCACACCCACACGGGUACUCAGCAGUGAAUAACAUUAAAACAUGAGCGAAAGCUCGACUUAGUUAUGAUAAACAUGGUCGGUAAAUUUCGUGCCAGCCACCGCGGUUAUACGAAAGACCAGAGACAAUGACCCACGGCGUAAAGCGUGACCAGAGCAUGUUAAAAAUCUAAAGAAAUAUUACCCCAAAGUCGUAAAACACCUUGCUCGUAAGACCGCCAACAGUAAAAUGACUUUAAAUAAAAGACCACUCGCCCUCACGAAAGCUAAGAAACAAACUAGGAUUAGAUACCCUACUAUGCUUAGCCCUUAACAUAGACAGCAAACAUACAAUACUGUCCGCCUGAGAACUACAAGUGAAAAACUAGAAACUCUAAGGACUUGGCGGUGUCCCACAUCGACCUAGAGGAGCCUGUCCUAUAAUCGAUAAUCCACGCUAUACCCCACCACCCCUUGCAAUUCAACCUAUAUACCGCCGUCGCCAGCCUACCUUAUGAGAGAAUUAAAAUAGGCUAAAUAGUCAAUAACUAAAACGUCAGGUCAAGGUGUAGUAUAUGGGGUGGAAGAGAUGGGCUACACUUUCUACCACAGAACAUACGAACAGCACAGUGAAACCUGCACUCAAAGGCGGAUUUAGUAGUAAGACAAACAAGAAACUUUGCCUGAAACCCGCUCUGGGACGCGCACACACCGCCCGUCACCCUC
rnacentral:ncRNA from 1 species